rnacentral:rRNA from 1 species
AGUGUAGGCGGCUUCGUAAGUCGGAUGUGAAAGCCCCGGGCUUAACCUGGGAAUUGCAUUCGAUACUGCGCGGCUAGAGUCUGAUAGAGGGAAGUGGAAUUCCAGGUGUAGCGGUGAAAUGCGUGGAUAUCUGGAGGAACACCAGUGGCGAAGGCGGCUUCCUGGAUCAAGACUGACGCUGAGGCUCGAAAGCGUGGGGAGCAAACA